GACGAACGCUGGCGGCGUGCCUAAUACAUGCAAGUCGAACGCAGUGGGGUCGGGGGAGUAACACGUGGGUAACCUCCCCUCAGAGGGGAGAAAACUUGGAAACAGGUGCUAAACCGAUACUGAUGGAUGGACCGGCGGUGCAUUAGCUAGUUGGUGAGGUAACGGCUCACCAAGGCCACGAUGCAUCGCCGACCUGAGAGGGUGACGUGCCACACUGGGACUGAGAAACGGCCCAGACUCCUACGGGAGGAAGCAGUAGGGAAUCUUCGGCAAUGGACGAAAGUCUGACCGAGCAACGCCGCGUGAGUGAAGAAGGUGUUCGGAUCGUAAAACGCUGUUGUUAGAGAAGCGGUAUCUAACCAGAAAGCCACGGCUAACUACGUGCCAGCAGCCGCGGUAAUAC
rnacentral:rRNA from 1 species